rnacentral:rRNA from 1 species
GUGUCAGCCGCCGCGGUAAGACGAAGGGGGCAAGCGUUGUUCGGAAUUACUGGGCGUAAAGGGCGCGUAGGCGGCUCUUUUAGUCAGGUGUGAAAGCCCUGGGCUCAACCUGGGAGUGGCACUUGAUACUGGAGGGCUAGAGAGUGGGAGAGGUUGGUGGAAUUCCCAGUGUAGAGGUGAAAUUCGUAGAUAUUGGGAAGAACACCGGUGGCGAAGGCGGCCAACUGGACCAUUUCUGACGCUGAGGCGCGAAAGCGUGGGGAGCAAACAGGAUUAGAUACCCUUGUAGUCC